rnacentral:SRP_RNA from 1 species
CUGUGCUAGACGGGGAGUUAGCGGUUCCUUGUACCUGCAAUCCGCUAUAGCAGGGUUGAAUUCCUUUGCGAGGGUUACGUAUUCGAAGCAGUCCAUGAUUUAGUGUGAUGAGUUUUUGGUCUUGCGCAACGGGACGCUUUGAACCGUGUCAGGUCCUGACGGAAGCAGCACUAAGAAGUUUGUACCGUGUGCCGCAAGGUGGCCGAAAAUGAGCAUUGUUUCAUGGGUAACGUUCGGGUAUUGUAAUUCGACCAAAGGUGCACAG